GACGAACGCUGGCGGCGUGCUUAACACAUGCAAGUCGAACGGAAAGGCCCUGCUUUUGUGACAUGCUCGAGUGGCGAACGGGUGAGUCACACGUGAGUAACCUGCCCUUCUCUUUUGGAUAACUUCAGGUAACUGGAGCUCAUACCGGAUCCGAGCUCCUCAUGCAUGUUGGGGGUUGGUUUUUUCGGCUGGUUGGGGGCGGACUGCCGGUUUUCCGGUUGGUUGGUGGGGGAGCGGCUUACCAAGCCUUGGACGGCUAGCCGGCCUGGGAGGGUGACCGGCCACAUUGGGACUGAGAGACGGCCGAGACUCCUACGUGAGGCAGCAGUGGGGAAUAUUGCACAAUGGGCGGAAGCCUGACGCAGCAACGCCGCGUGCGGGAUGACGGCCUGCGGGUUGGAAACCGCUUUCGCCUGUGACGAAGCGUGAGUGACGGUAAUGGGUAAAGAAGCACCGGCUAACUACGUG
rnacentral:rRNA from 1 species